UGAGUGUGAGUGUGUGUGUGUGUGUGUGUGUAUGUGUGUGUGUGUGUGUGUGUGUACAAAUAUAUAAACCAACCCUGAUGAGUCCAUUUUGUUGGUAGUGUACAUAUGGUUUCAGGGUAUGUAGUAUCUGUUGGACAAUCAAUAAAGGAGCCAUCCCUGGGAGAGGUUAAUUCUCCUUCUGUCAGCAUUCAGUUCUUCUCCCAGCCUUUAGUUCUUCAUUUAGGGGUCGGACCCUGUGGAAAUGUCCCCCUUCAACGUCAGCAUGCCCAUGGAUAUUGUCACCGUUUCAACCUUGUUUACGCAGCCCUCUAUAGGGGAGACGACGUCAUCACAAAAUUCCUGGUUUUCUGGCUCUGACAAUCUUCCCACUCCCUCUUCCACGACGUUCCCUGAGCCAUAGAUGUAGGAGUUGUCUUCAGCAAUGGGGGCUUACCUUCAACCCCUGAGGCUCUAUUAAUAGUCUACAUUGCUUUGGGAGUGACCUGAAUUACUCUGAGCAACCAUUGGAAAGGAGGUUUCUAGUGCCUGGUACUGGGGUUUUUGUUAGUGUGCAGUUCUUGUGGAGAGCAUUGCCAGCCUAAGUGGCAUAACAUAUCCUAUAUCUAUAUUAAUCCUAUGUGUAUAUACAUACACUUAUAUAUACUACAUAUAAUUUUAGGAAAAUAUAAAAUAAUAUGAUUCCUUGAAGUUAUAUCAAACAACUUUGGUAUUAUUUGUCCCUCCUUACAUUGCCAGCAUGCACUGAGCAAAUGUAAGGCAAGGCACAUGGAAGUCCCAGACUGAGCCUGGGAAAAACUAUAGGAAUUCUCUCAGUUCCUCUACUGGCCCUGAAUACCCAGACUGUCAAGUCCUGAAAUAUUCACAGUCUCCUCCCUACUCUGUUCCUGCUGCUAUAACAAAAUGCCUGAGAUUAGGAUACUGAGCAGUAGUAGUAUUUCUUAUAGGUCUAAAGGCAGGCAUUCAAGAUCAAGGUUCUGGUAGAUUCUGCAUCUUGCAUCUCUUUCACGUAACAGGAGGGCAGAAAGGAAGAAUGCUGUGUCUUCACAUCGAGGAACAGGCAAAGCAGCUCCUGGUAGCCUCUUUACUAGCCCCACUGAGUAGGCUGAAGCUUCCUGAAAAUCCGCACUCUUAAAGGCCUCGCUCUGAACAUAGAAUUUGGGGCACGGCAGCAUGCAGACGUCAACAAUGCCCAUCAGAUUUGCGUCAAGCACUUCCAGCUCCUGGCCUCUCAGUGAGUCUCCAGAAGGAAGUCCCCACUUCCUCCAGGUCGAAGAAGUGGCCAUUCCGCCAGGCAUCUGAGAGUGGUCAGUUGUGGAUGACCGCUCGGUUAAGUGGGGAUUUAGAAACAGUGUUCACAUGAGAGAAUCUCAGGGCCUGGAGGAGGAUUACUGGACAUUUCCAAGGAGAACCCGAGGAGGUGCAGAUGGUACCACGGUCAGACUGUUGGAAUGAGCUGACGACUGAGAUGACGGCCCCACGGAUGGCUGAGGACCACCGCUGUGCCGCGUCGGCUGACACACUGAUGGGGAAGUGCAGCCCCCACCAGAACCCAGCAGCAAAGAGAGCAGGACAGCGGGGACCACUGAGCAACUGACACAAAAACUUCAUUCAUUCGAAGAGGAAGACGGCAUGCCCCAUCCAGACACCCUCACAGUGAAGACGAAGGUUAUAGGUUCUAACAAGAAAGUUUCAGUGAAGUUACCUGGAUGGAAGUGCUUGGAUUGAAGUGAUAUUCUGAUUUUGUGACUUGUAAAUUAUCACAUUUGAAUCUAUAUUGAGGAUGAAUUUGGGAGGCAGG